rnacentral:rRNA from 1 species
AUGUCUUCAUCCUCCGGCGCGGCUCAACCUAGCCUCAAUGGCCAGGUCACCGAAAAGCUCAACUGCACGAACUACGUGCUAUGGCGCACGCAGGUCACACCCCACCUGCGGGGCGCCGGUGUCUUCGGCUACGUCAAUGGCACCGUGCCCGAGCCGGCCAAACUCCACGUCACCAAGGACAAGGAUGGCAAGGAGACUUCUGCGCCCAACCAUCUCCACCCACUUUGGGUCCGGGAGGAUCAACAGGUGCUUGGCUAUUUGCUGAGUACCCUCUCCAAGGAGGUGCUGGUCGCGGUCACCGCGAUCACCACGACGCGCGAACUCUGGGUGGCACUGGCGGGCAUGUUCUCAUCCCAGUCACUCAGCCGCAUCAAAAACAUCAGGAAUGCGCUCAUCAACGCGCAGAAGGGCAACCAAUCGGUCGCCUCCUACUUCGCCUCCCUGCGCGGCCUUGCUGAUGAACUCGCCACCGCCAACAAGCCUAUCCAGGAUGACAAAUUGAUCUCAUACAUCCUCCAUGGCCUGGACGUCGACUACCAGCCGCUCGUCUCUGCCCUUGACGCCUGCGUCACACCCGUCACCCUCGACGAGCUCUAUGCCAUGCUGAGUAACUUUGAUCAGCGCAUGACCCAGUUCCAUGGCUCUUCCGGCGGCUUCAAGUCCUCUGCCAACGCCGCAUCUCGCGGCCGUGGUGGCGUCCCUCGCUCGCGUUGA